rnacentral:rRNA from 1 species
GCACAAGCGGUGGAUGAUGUGGAUUAAUUCGAUGCAACGCGAAAAACCUUACCUACCCUUGACAUGUCUGGAAUCCCGAAGAGAUUUGGGAGUGCUCGCAAGAGAACUGGAACACAGGUGCUGCAUGGCUGUCGUCAGCUCGUGUCGUGAGAUGUUGGGUUAAGUCCCGCAACGAGCGCAACCCUUGUCAUUAGUUGCUACGAAAGGGCACUCUAAUGAGACUGCCGGUGACAAACCGGAGGAAGGUGGGGAUGACGUCAAGUCCUCAUGGCCCUUAUGGGUAGGGCUUCACACGUCAUACAAUGGUCGGGACAGAGGGUCGCCAACCCGCGAGGGGGAGCCAAUCCCAGAAACCCGAUCGUAGUCCGGAUUGUAGUCUGCAACUCGACUACAUGAAGUCGGAAUCGCUAGUAAUCGCGGAUCAGCAUGUCGCGGUGAAUACGUUCCCGGGUCUUGUACACACCGCCCGUCACACCAUGGGAGUGGGUUUCACCAGAAGUAGUUAGCCUAACCGCAAGGGGGGCGAUUACCACGGUGGGGUUCAUGACUGGGGUGAAGUCGUAACAAGGUACC